AAACGAUGGGAUGCGCGCGAUUGAGUUAGAAACUGAAAAUGUGAAAUCUCUUUGAAAAUAGAAAUAAGCGUUUUCUUUUUCUUUUUUUCCACAGAAAUAAGCGUUUUUUUAAACGCGGAUUCUCGAGAGAUACACUAGAGUAAGGGUCUGACUGGUUUAAACGCAGUGGGUGCGGUUGCGGAAGUUUGCGGAAACGGGCGGUUGCAGUUUCAAGCGUUAUCAAGCGUUCUGAACGACUGGUUGAGCGUUUGAUAAUGAGUGCGUUUGCGAGAGUUUUAUGACUGGUAAACCAGCGGAUGCGAUAAUAAUUAAAUAAAAAAAUAACCAAAAUAAAUAUAAUAUAUUA
rnacentral:sRNA from 1 species